UACGUAGGGUGCGAGCGUUAAUCGGAAUUACUGGGCGUAAAGCGUGCGCAGGCGGUCUUGUAAGCCAGAUGUGAAAUCCCCGGGCUUAACCUGGGAAUGGCAUUUGGGACUGCAAGGCUUGAGUGCGGCAGAGGAGACUGGAAUUCCCGGUGUAGCAGUGAAAUGCGUAGAUAUCGGGAGGAAUACCGAUGGCGAAGGCAGGUCUCUGGGCUGACACUGACGCUCAUGCACGAAAGCGUGGGGAGCAAACAGG
rnacentral:rRNA from 1 species